rnacentral:misc_RNA from 1 species
UACGGAGGGUGCAAGCGUUAUCCGGAUUUAUUGGGUUUAAAGGGUGCGUAGGCGGAAAAUUAAGUCAGUGGUGAAAGCCUGCAGCUUAACUGUAGAAUUGCCAUUGAUACUGAUUUUCUUGAGUAUGGUUGAAGUGGGCGGAAUGUGUCAUGUAGCGGUGAAAUGCAUAGAUAUGACACAGAACACCAAUAGCGAAGGCAGCUCACUAAGCCAUUACUGACGCUCAGGCACGAAAGCGUGGGGAGCGAACAGG